GAGUUUGAUCCUGGCUCAGAUUGAACGCUGGCGGCAUGGCUAAAACAUGCAAGUCGAACGAGCCCGCAAGGGCAAGUGGCGAAAGGGUUAGUAAUACGAUCGAACGUACCCCGAGGUGGAGGAUAGCCGUGGGAAACUGCGGGUAAUACUCCAUGAUCUCUCCGGAGCAAAGCUUUUGCGCCUUGGGAGCGGCGAUCGUCCUAUCAGGUAGUUGGCGGGGUAAAGGCCCACCAAGCCGAAGACGGGUAGCGGGUGUGAGAGCACGGCCCGCAACAUCGGAACUGAGACACUGUCCGGACACCUACGGGUGGCUGC
rnacentral:rRNA from 1 species